GUCCUCGUGGCUUAUCGGGAGAACACCCGACUAUGGUUCGGUAGAACUCGGGUUCAAGCCCCGGGGAAGGCA